UGGAGAGAGGCAUGACUGUAAUUAGACAAAAGAGCAGGACCAAGAGUUUAAAAUGAGUAAACACAUGAAAUAUGCAAGAUGUCGAGAUUUAGACCAGCGAAGGGAGCUUCUGAAGAUGACAGAGAUUGCUGGAGUCUGUGCGCUAGCUGUGCAAAAGACUAUCUUCCUGAGAGAGCAAUGAAAUUUAUUUCAUGAGAUUUGGGAAGAGAAUCUGAAUCAGGUCACAAGAUAAAAAUAUCUAAUGUGUUCUGGACAGUGGACUCAGAGAUGUGCGCUCAGAUCCUUCUCUUGGAACAAAGGAUCCAUUUCCCCAGCUGCUAGGAUGCUGCCGGAUGGCAUUUUCGGGACUUCUGCCUAUUUUGGAGAUUGUUGUGGCUGCAGAAAUCUGUCUGUCUCCAAGAUCAAGGGCCCCUCCUGGUGGUCUAGACCCAGCAGGUGCUCCUGAACCUUUGCUCACCAGACUUUAUGGUGAUCUACAUUUCACUGUCUGAUUUUCUGGAAGACAUUGUCCUGGGUGCUGUAGAGGCUGCUUCCAGGUAGUCAUCAAAUGUCAGUGUCCUUUAGAACUUGUCACAGUUCAAGAAAGUUUUCUUCACUGAGUCAGUCUCUUUCCAAGAACAGCCCAUGUGCAUCGGCUGACCAAUGGGUGUCAUCUUCAUUGCCAUGUGGGUAAUCUAGGCAGACCAGGCCACACUGAAAGCCUCCCAUGACUUUACUCAGCCUCCCUUGCUCCCAAUUCCACUUCUGCUUCCUUUCCUUUCCCCAGGGCGUGCCUGAGUCCACCUUUUGUCUGCUGAGGGCCACCUGACAGUCUUUGCCUGUGCCAUCUUGCUAAUCCACCUUAGUUUUUUACUCCAAUUUUUACCUUAACAAUGUACUCCAGUAAGCAUCUAUUUCAUGUGACUUUCUGGGGGAAACAAAUGGCUGUUAGUAUUAUCUUAUUGCUUUUCACAAAGUUGUUUUUCUCUUAGUGUUCAUGGUUUAAAGUUUUUAAAAGCCCAUUGAUGAUGUCCCUGAUUCAGAAUGGCGUAAUGCUUUGCUUCAUUGAUUUCAAUUAUCAAAGACUCCCAUUUUAUACUUUUUGAUCUUCCUUUUAGUAAAUUAAAUUUUUGACUUACUGAUAGGUCCACAGAAUAUCAGCUAACACAUGUGCCUAUUAUAUCUUGAACACAAUUCCUAUAGUCCUUCUACUGAACAACAAACCAACAGCUCUGUAACACUGGUAAUUUUAUCUGAGUCUGGCAGAGAUUAUCUACUUCCUUAUUACUAAUGAUCAGUUUCUCUGAAGAAGAGCAUGAGGUUACUUCGUUAAACACUAUUGUCUUAGAUACUUUUCUUUCAUUGUUAAGACAAAAUAUUUUAUGCCCAAAAUUAAGGAAAGAAAGAUUUAUUUAGCUCACCACUUGUGGAGGUUUCAGUCCAUAUUUGGCUGGCUCCAAGGCCAGGUGGCACAAGGCAAGUGGCAAUAACUCAUGGUGGCCAGAAGACAGCAAAAAUAACAAGAGCAAAAAAGGAAGCACAUAGAAGAAAAUAUUUUCUAUCCCUUAUAUUUUAUGUAGGCCACACCUACCCUAGAGUGAGUGUAACAUUCACACUCAUAAUGCUAGCACUGGAUCAUGAAUUAAGUACAAAUUCUAGAAGUUGCCCUCAUGAGUGCAUGAAGUUUUGAGGGGACAUCCAGACACAACUGUAACAAUAAUAUUUCCUGUUCUCUUUUAUGUGGCCACAUGACUACAUCCUGGGCAUUUGGAAUAUGAUUGAGAAUGACACAUGGAAGGACAAUUUCUCAUGGAUGGAUAUGGUCACACUGGCAGGAGCUAGAAGAGUCACCUUGAAGCACAUGGAUGAUAGCAGAACAAGAUAGAUGGAGCCUGGCUUCCAAAACAGACCACCAAAUCAGCCAAGACUUUUGCGUGGGAAGGAAAAUACAUCUAUAUUAUUGGAGGCAUUAUUAUGUUGGGUCUCUAUUACAGCAACCAAAUCAAUCUCUUAAUCCUGAAGGAAUAUACAUAUCUGAAGGAUGUUUCCUAAUGUGAUGUUCAUGCAAUCAGUCAAUUAGUUACUUUCCAAUAGAUUGGGGGAUAUAUGAGUUCUUCUACAGUUAUGUUUGUUAACCUGAGGUAGCUGGGCUUCUAUGAGGAAGUGAUGGUAUCCUUGACAGCUCAAGAAUAUACAGGACCAGUAUGACAUUUCUGCAAGUAUUGGCUUUCCUCCAAGUUCAAUAAAAAUGAAAUUUCAAAA